GGAGGCAUAUCACCCGCUAGGCCUCUAGCGUUAGGGAUCGAGGGUUUUGAAUGGCAAAAAUGGUAUCAUUUGGGCAUUCGAAACUUAUUAAUUACCCUAGCGCUUAAAGACACUCACCUCCCGCACAAACAGUCCUGGGUUGGUCUUUUUGGGGUUGUUGAGCGUCGGAUGGAGCAGGGACUGGAGAUGGUUUGUCACCC
rfam:Polynucleobacter sp. MWH-Weng1-1 2574185727, whole genome shotgun sequence.